UGCAGAUAAUGCCGGGGUUAUUGUGAACCCAAAGGGGGAAAUGAAAGGAUCUGCAAUUACUGGACCAAUUGGAAAGGAGUGUGUUGAUUUGUGGCCUAGGAUUGCUAGUGCAGCCAAUGCCAUUAUGUAAUAUCCAGAUUUUUCUUCAGGUGUCAGUGAGGAGUAGUAGUUUCAUGUUAUUUGUUAUUGAAAAGAAAAGUGAGUUUUUUUAAAUAUGGAUCCAUAUUUGUAUUGGAU